AUGUGUGUGUUCUGGUCAAAGAUUACACAGGAGGCAAAAAGGGUUCUUUCACUUGAACCCUAAUUGAUACAAAAUCACUCAAAUUCAAGAAGGAGAUCGAGAUUUAACUAAAACCAAGCUGAAAUUAGUGAUCACUCAAGUUAGAGGAUCAUAAGGCAAGGUGGUCGAAUCUUCAAUCGGACAAGUCGGAGCGGACGCGCGCUUAAAGAAUAAGCUUUGAAAGUGAAGGAUUUCACUCGAUAACCAAAUGGGUGAACGUUAUGAGUAUCCAAAUGACGAUCAAGCGAAGAACAAGAACCGAACACACAAAUAAAUGAAGCUUUCGCAUUGAUCUCAUUUUGUUUUAUAAAAAGUGGAUUAUGUAAACACUGUUAACCAUGUUUUUGGAUGUUGUAAACAUGUUUAAAAAGACUUACUACUUAAAAGUUUUUGUUAAGUGGCAUUUUCAUAUAAAAUGCUUACUUUAAUGAUAUAUAUUAGCGUUAAAUUAGUAUGGGUAUGACAAUUUUACUAGCAGGAUGUCCGCACGAUGCAGCGGGAGCGACA
rnacentral:lncRNA from 1 species